rnacentral:misc_RNA from 1 species
UCCGGUUUGUCACCGGCAGUCACCUUAGAGUGCCCAACUGAAUGCUGGCAACUAAGAUCAAGGGUUGCGCUCGUUGCGGGACUUAACCCAACAUCUCACGACACGAGCUGACGACAACCAUGCACCACCUGUCACCGCUGUCCCCGAAGGGAAAGCCUAGUCUCCUAGGCGGUCAGCGGGAUGUCAAGACCUGGUAAGGUUCUUCGCGUUGCAUCGAAUUAAUCCACAUGCUCCGCCGCUUGUGCGGGCCCCCGUCAAUUCCUUUGAGCUUCAGUCUUGCGACCGUACUCCCCAGGCGGCGAACUUAACGCGUUAGCUUCGAUACUGCGUGCCAAAUUGCACCCAACAUCCAGUUCGCAUCGUUUAGGGCGUGGACUAC